UGAGCGGGGCCGCGGGGCCGGAAUGGAGAAAGUGGGACUGCCGGGGACCUAGAGAGCGAGCGGCGCCGCCCGUGGGGACUGCGGCUGGAGGUGGGAAGUCGUGGCGAGCUGGACCAGGUGCUCAGGCUGAGGCGGCCGCCCUCCCUUCGCAGGGUGUGCGUGCGCCUAGUGCCAGCUGUGCGGGAUCCGCACAUGCUGACCUUCCUGCAGCAACUGCGGGUGGACUGGCCCGCUGCCUCGGAGAGAGCUUCCUCCCACACCCUGAGGAGCCACGCCCUUGAAGAACUUACCUCUGCUAAUGACGGGAGGACACUGUCCCCUGGCAUCCUAGGCAGACUGUGUCUGAAGGAGCUGGUGGAAGAACAGGGCCGCACAGCUGGCUAUGACCCCAACCUGGACAACUGUCUGGUGACUGAGGAUCUCCUCUCUGUGCUGGCUGAGCUGCAAGAGGCUCUAUGGCAUUGGCCCGAGGACAGCCACCCAGGCCUGGUUAGUGACUCCCAGCCCUGUAGGUUCUCCCAAACCAAGUAUACUGUACUUCCACAGUUAUGAUUGUCCUCCCUUAGGCUGGGGCCUCAGAUACCGGUACAGGCGGCUGCCUGGUUGUACAUGUUGUUAGCUGUGAGGAGGAGUUCCAGCAACAGAAGUUGGACCUGCUUUGGCAGAAGUUGGUUGACAAGGCUCCACUCAGACAGAAGCACCUGAUCUGUGGCCCUGUGAAAGUAGCUGGUGCACCUGGCACUCUGAUGACUGCCCCUGAGUACUACGAACCCAGCCUGGACAGAGAUCUUUGGUGUUCUCUCUGUGGCCACCAUCAAGUUUGAGAUGCUGAGCACAGCCCCACAGAGUCAGCUCUUCCUGGCUCUGGCUGACAGCAGUAUCUCCACGAAGGGCACAAAGAGUGGCACCUUUGUCAUGUAUAAUUGUGCCCGUCUUGCCACACUCUUUGAGAGUUACAAGUGUAGUAUGGAACAAGGUCUGUACCCCACUUUUCCUCCUGUGAGCAGUCUGGACUUCUCACUGCUACAUGAUGAGGUGAGUGUCCCUCCUGGUAGCUGGCACAAGGAGGCCUGGACUUCCCCUCCCAGCACCUUUCUCCCCCACAGGGUGAGUGGUUGUUGCUCUUCAACAGUAUCCUCCCCUUUCCGGAUCUGCUGAGCCGGACAGCAGUGCUGGACUGCACAGCCCCGGGGCUCCACAUUGCUGUACGCACAGAGAUGGUGAGGCAUAGACAACCAGGACACUCUACACUCUAUUCUUUAUUCUGGCCUGGGGCACAAGAGCAAAGAGAUGGGCCAGUGACUCAGUCUCUGUCUCUAGAUAUGCAAGUUCCUGGUACAGCUCAGCAUGGAUUUCAGCUCCUACUACAACCGGGUACACAUCCUGGGGGUGAGCACACAGCAAAACGGGGUGGGACGUGCAGAGGGGUACAGGGUAAAGGCAAAGGAAGCAGAGGAUGAGACCAGCAGGCCCUUUCUCUUUCAGGAGCCUCGACCACACCUCUUUGGUCAGAUGUUCGUCCGCCUGCAGCUUCUGAGAGCUGUGCGUGAGGUGCUCCAUACUGGCCUGGCUAUGCUGGGUCUCCCUCCACUGAGCCACAUCUAAGGCCACAGAGGCUCCAAUACCUGGGAAUGUUCACAAAGUCAUCAACUGGAAAAAAAGCAAAAA
rnacentral:sRNA from 1 species